GUUUAAAUAGUUUAACUAAAAACAUUGAUUUUGUAAAUCAAAAUUAAAUAAUAAUUUUUUAAACU
rnacentral:tRNA from 1 species